AAUUUUAUGACUGAUAAAAGUAAUAAAUUGAUAAUUUAUAAAUAUUUAAUAAUUUAAUUUU
rnacentral:tRNA from 1 species